GGGAUAAUGAGAGGGCUGUGGACAUGAAGGAAAAACCACCGUAUUCAGUCCCUUUAAUCUGCCGUGUCCCAACUCCGGCUGGGCCCUUGGCCUCUCCUCUACCUUCCCCUUGUUUGUCUGUUUGCGAGAUGAAGGAGGCGCAGGCGCUGGGGGCAGACACUCAACUCGCCGCCUUCCAGAGUAAAUAACACCAAUGCCAAGGCCCUUGGCCAUCAACCAGAGGUGAGAUUACGGGCUUGGGCUAAGUUAUUUGAAGAUGGCAGAUUUAUACAUAAAGUCCCUUCUAUAAUUCAA